rnacentral:rRNA from 1 species
UACAGGGGUGCAAACGUUGCUCGGAAUUAUUGGGCGUAAAGCGCGCGUAGGCGGCCGCUUAAGUCGGAUGUGAAAGCCCUGGCUCAACUGGGGAAGUGCACCCGAAACUGAGUGGCUUGAGUACUAAAGAGGGUCGCGGAAUUCCCGGUGUAGAGGUGAAAUUCGUAGAUAUCGGGAGGACACCGGUGGCGAAGGCGGCGACCUGGGUAGAUACGUGACGCUGAGGCGCGAAAGCGUGGGAGCAACAGG